rnacentral:rRNA from 1 species
CCUACGGGAGGCAGCAGUAAGGAAUAUUGGUCAAUGGACGCAAGUCUGAACCAGCCAUGCCGCGUGAAGGAUUAAGGCCCUCUGGGUUGUAAACUUCUUUUAUAGGGGACGAAAAAAGGGCAUUCUUGCUCACUUGACGGUACCCUAGGAAUAAGCACCGGCUAACUCCGUGCCAGCAGCCGCGGUAAUACGGAGGGUGCAAGCGUUAUCCGGAUUUACUGGGUUUAAAGGGUGCGUAGGUGGGUUGGUAAGUCAGUGGUGAAAUCUUCGAGCUUAACUCGGAAACUGCCAUUGAUACUAUCAAUCUUGAAUCAUCUAGAGGUAAGCGGAAUAUGUCAUGUAGCGGUGAAAUGCUUAGAUAUGACAUAGAACACCAAUUGCGAAGGCAGCUUACUAUGGAUGUAUUGACACUGAGGCACGAAAGCGUGGGGAUCAAACAGGAUUAGAUACCCUGGUAGUCCACGACCUAACGAUGAUACUACGACAUUAGUGUAUAUACUAUAAGUGUNUGAGCGAAGACGAUAAGUAGUCCACCGUACGGGAAGGUAACGGUACCGACCGUUAAGGUUAGUAAACGUUAACGAAAGGUAAGUUAGACGGCGUGAGACGUUCGCCGACGGACGACGACGAGGGGAGGUUAGG